UCACGGUCCACUUCCACAGCCCGUAAUUUUGUUCAAAUUUCAAAGCGAGAUAGGAACAAUCUUUGGUCUUAAUUAGCAUUAUUGACACGUGUUAUUUCAAAAAUGAAGCCAAAAAACCCUCUCUGCCAAUUAAUUAAAGCGCGCAAGUCGUAUCCGCCGUUCGUUUCAUCGUUUUAAAAUUAGCCGCUCUGGCGCCUUCUCCAAUUCCAGUUCCACCUAUAAAGCUUAAUCGAAAGCUUUCAUUUCCCUGACUUUCCGCCAUUAUCGCAGAGCUUCCUCUCUCUCUCUCUCUCUCUCUCUCUCUCUGAAGCUCUGAGAAUCGCGACUGCGGAUUUUCAGGCAAUGGAAGCCGAGGAAGGUCCCACACACCUUUCGCCGUCGCCGACUUUUAGCAUCUAUUCUUCAGGUAGCAGUAGCCUCGCUGAAAUUGCCGCCAGCGCUGUUAGGGAAAUUGGAGAAGAACCGUUUGCAGAUGCUGAUAAUUACGGCUGGGAGUCCCAGGGUUCGGUUUACCGUUUCCGAGAAAAUACGUCCAACAGCCAUGCAAGGGAAUCACCGGAAGGAGUUAGAAGUGAUGACUGUGGUAAAAAUGGCGACAAUGAUGAAUUUAAGUUUGUUGUUCUCUGCAGAGAACCAGACGCAUUUACGAGCCCUGCUCAUGAGAUCUUUUACAAUGGUCAGAUCAUGCCGGUUUAUCCGGUAUUCAAUAUGGACUUACUGCUAGACAACGGCUCACGAGUAGGCACCGUAUUGGAGAACUUGAAGAAGUCGACUGUGCAUCGUUCGCCGUUGAGAAACAAGAUGAACGAAGAGGAGUGUAAAACGACGUCGGUUUCCUCGUCUGGAGCGGACGGUCUUGCAGGCGUUCCAUCGGAUACGUACUGCGUCUGGUCUCCUAGCCCUGAGAAAACACCACCCGAAAAGAAACAUAAAAGAAUAGAAUUGUUAAACAGGUGGAAAUUUCGGGAUCUUAUAUACAAUCACAUUCUAAGUAAGAGUGAAGGAGCGGAUGCACUCAUGAUGAGGACGACGAUUAUUAAGAAGGACGAUCGGCCUGGAAAUGUACCGAAGAUGAAGAAAGAUGGUUCAAGAAGAUUAUCAACAUCCUCUAGUAGUCCUAAUUUUGGUUCCACAUCCUUCCCUGCACAGAGCGUUCGUUAUGGGUGGAACAGAACGGUGAAAGAAGCGGAAAAGAGGAGGUCCAGACAACAUUGGGUAGGAUAUGUGGCUAAUGCCAACGCAACCAUCUAGAAUUUGCAUCCAUUCGGAAGAUUUGUUUGUGGUUGAAUUGCUGGAGAUCCUUAACUUUUGAUUUGAAAAGAACAGAAAAUAGUGUAGUUCCCAAUCAGGUUUUAGUUAGUUGGUAUUGAAUCUAAAAUGCUCAUUAUCUGGUGAGAAUGAAGGAGGUUCCAUCUUCCAAGUAAGUUUCUAUCUAACUUUUGGCUUUUAAAUUUAAUUUUACUUUCACAAGUCAAGUAGCCAUGGUUUGUUCUUGCAUUAUAUUUUAUAUAUACAUCAGUUACAAAAACACCUACUACAUGUAGGUCAACCUCAACAUAGUUGAAUUA